rnacentral:rRNA from 1 species
GACGAACGCUGGCGGCGUGCCUAAUACAUGCAAGUAGAACGCUGAAGGAGGAGCUUGCUCUUCUGGAUGAGUUGCGAACGGGUGAGUAACGCGUAGGUAACCUGCCUGGUAGCGGGGGAUAACUAUUGGAAACGAUAGCUAAUACCGCAUAACAGUAGAUGUUGCAUGACAUUUACUUAAAGGGUGCAAUUGCAUCACUACCAGGUGGACCUGCGUUGUAUUAGCUAGUUGGUGGGGUAACGGCUCACCAAGGCGACGAUACAUAGCCGACCUGAGAGGGUGAUCGGCCACACUGGGACUGAGACACGGCCCAGACUCCUACGGGAGGCAGCAGUAGGGAAUCUUCGGCAAUGGACGGAAGUCUGACCGAGCAACGCCGCGUGAGUGAAGAAGGUUUUCGGAUCGUAAAGCUCUGUUGUAAGAGAAGAACGAGUGUGAGAGUGGAAAGUUCGCACUGUGACGGUAUCUUACCAGAAAGGGACGGCUAACUACGUG